rnacentral:rRNA from 1 species
CGCCUCUUGACAACUAUAAGAGGUCCAGCCUGCCCAGUGACUCUGUUCAACGGCCGCGGUAUCCUAACCGUGCGAAGGUAGCGUAAUCACUUGUUCUUUAAAUAAGGACUAGUAUGAAAGGCACCACGAGGGUUGCACUGUCUCCUUUCUCUAAUCAGUGAAACUAAUCUUCCCGUGAAGAAGCGGGAAUGAAAAUAUAAGACGAGAAGACCCUAUGGAGCUUUAAACUAAACAAUAAUAGCCAACCCACUUACACAACUCCAGAUGAAUACUUUACCCUGGCUUAAUAAUUUUUAGUUUUUGGUUGGGGUGACCACGGAGAAAAAAGAAACCUCCGCAAUGAAAGACUCUCCUUCUUAAUUUUAGGACUACUUUCCUAAACAUCAAUAAAUUGACAUAUAUUGACCCAACAACGUUGAUCAAUGAACCAAGUUACCCUAGGGAUAACAGCGCAAUCCACUUCAAGAGCCCCUAUCGACAAGUGGGUUUACGACCUCGAUGUUGGAUCAGGGUAUCCCAGUGGUGCAGCCGCUACUAAAGGUUCGUUUGUUCAACGAUUAAAACCCUA